ensembl:lncRNA
AUAUAAUCCCAGGAAGCACAGUUAGACAGUGAGAGAAUGUUGCAGGGAAGGGAAGAAAGCCAAUAAAGGGUAUGCUGAUGAGUAGUUACCAUGUGAACAUGGGACUCAAUCUUGGAGUGUAUCCACUGAGUCACAAUGUAGAAUGUGCCAAAGAAUUGUCCCACUGAAGGGACAUGAACAUGCGAUAUUUAUCCGGGGACUCCUGUUCUUCACUCUUAACUGCCUCGCAAUUUGUACCCGUCCAAUGUCCAGGCUGAACAUACUCCUAGAACAGAAGAGGCUCCUGCAUCACAGAGCUGAUUUUCCUAGCAGAGGGACCCAGACUAAGAAGAAAUCUCUUGGAUUUAAAGAACUUUUCAUCACUCUGUUCAACUACUUUCUGUACAACAAAGAGCUGGAUGUGGACCACUACCAACAAUAAGAGUUCCCCAUCUCACGAAUGUCCAAUAUGAAGGUCUGGCACCUUGCCUUCCAAUAUGGAAUAUACGUCUUGCUGGGACAAUCCCCUGGAAUCACAAAGAACUCCAGCAGCGGCUUGCACCCAUCCUCAUCCUCAGAGGAAUACUGGAAACCAGACUGCAGAAGCAGCAACAUGCUCCCUUCCAACAAGUCACACAGAGAAGGGAGUAUCAAAGCAGUAACUUCACCCACCAUGUGUUGCAUUACAGGAAACUUUAAUGUUCAGAAAUGCAUUUCCCUUUUAUUUAUUUUUUUUGGAGGAGGCGGCCAUAGGAAUUUCAAUUUACAGCCAUUGGUGAUCACUUCUAUUUGGAAUCAUUGGCAAAAGAGUGUAGUAGUGACUGAGAAUGGGUAGGAGACAAGAUUGGUCAUUCAAUGGGAGAGGAGUUCAAUUUUUCCAACAAAUCUUUGGGAGAUAAAGCUGAAUAAAAUGAAUUACUCUUCAGUGGUGACUGGAGAUAUGGCCAGAGUUCAUGGGACUGAUAUGAGCACAACCAGGACUAUAGAACUGUGGAUAUCAGGGGAAAUUUCUGAAAAAUGUUAUCCAAAACAUUUUCUAUUAUCAAGAUCCAGGAUUUUCUGUGUCUUAAAGGAAUCUAAAAGAUGGGAUCCAGAAGGCCGAAUCCAGGAGGCAGAAGGCAAAGGUUCUCUUUAUCAAAUUAGAAAGGUGUUCGCAGGCUCACCUUCUAAACCUAGAACGAGGACAGUUAUCCCUUCUCUUGUUGCAUCUCUGAAGUUCUUCAGUUACUCAAUUUGUGGACUUAGAAUAGCACAUCGUCCAGCCACAUUUAUUCUAAACAGAUGGUCUGGACCCAGAGAGAUGGCAGCCAAUGAUCUUAACCACUGUGCUCACAGCUUAUCUUUUCAUGGAAAGGUGAAGAGAUGUCAAGUGCAACCAUCCCACCAAGUACGCGCACACACGGCCCAUUUGUUUAAUCAAACUGGAAAUUACAGGAUAAUGUAUUAUGUUCACUUAUUUUAAGUCACAAUUGAUAUUGAAAAUAAAUACUGAAAUGGCAAGUUAUAUAAAUGGCAAAGUGCUUUUAUUGUGGGUAUUGGCUCCAGUUUGGUGAGUGGUGAGAGAUUAACAUAGAGUUCACU